GCCGUGGUAGCUCAGGGGUAGAGCAACUGAUUCGUAAUCAGUAGGUCGGGGGUUCAAAUCCCUUUCACGGCA
rnacentral:tRNA from 1 species